rnacentral:rRNA from 1 species
UGCCAGCAGCCGCGGUAAGACGAACCGUGCAAACGUUGUUCGGAAUCACUGGGCUUAAGGGGUGCGUAGGCGGCUUUGUAAGUCGGGUGUGAAAUCCCUCGGCUCAACCGAGGAACUGCAUUCGAUACUGCAUGGCUUGAGGGAGAUAGGGGCGCGUGGAACUUCGGGUGGAGCGGUGAAAUGCGUUGAGAUCCGAAGGAACGCCGGUGGCGAAAGCGACGCGCUGGGUCUCCUCUGACGCUGAGGCACGAAAGCUAGGGGAGCAAACAGGAUUAGGUA